GACGAACGCUGGCGGCGUGCCUAAUACAUGCAAGUCGAGCGGACGGAUGGGAGCUUGCUCCCAGACCGUCAGCGGCGGACGGGUGAGUAACACGUGGGCAACCUGCCUGUAAGACUGGGAUAACUCCGGGAAACCGGGGCUAAUACCGGAUAACUCUUUCCCUCACAUGAGGGAAAGCUGAAAGAUGGCAUCUCGCUAUCACUUACAGAUGGGCCCGCGGCGCAUUAGCUAGUUGGUGAGGUAACGGCUCACCAAGGCGACGAUGCGUAGCCGACCUGAGAGGGUGAUCGGCCACACUGGGACUGAGACACGGCCCAGACUCCUACGGGAGGCAGCAGUAGGGAAUCUUCCGCAAUGGACGAAAGUCUGACGGAGCAACGCCGCGUGAGUGAUGAAGGUUUUCGGAUCGUAAAACUCUGUUGUCAGGGAAGAACAAGUACCGGAGUAACUGCCGGUACCUUGAUGGUACCUGACCAGAAAGCCACGGCUAACUACGUG
rnacentral:rRNA from 1 species